GGCGGGGAGGGGGCGCCGCCGCCGCCGGUAAAAUGGCGGGCGGGGCGCUGAGGGGCGGUUGGGGCCAGCGCGGCGCCCGGGGCCCCCCGUCCCCUCGGGAAGCAGCGACGUGACCGAGGCAUGCCUGCAGGGAAGGGACUUCACCUGAGGAAUUCACUCACUCCAAGUAAGAACCUAGAUGUCUUGGAAGCAGCUCCACAGCUUACAGAAUAAGAUGCUUAAGACAACAAAGAUGAUUAAGGGUGACACAGAGCCCCUGAAGAUACUGCAGCUCUUCAGUCCACACGUACAAAUUCAGACAAUCAAGCUGAUGCCAGUUAUGCCAAUAACCAAGAUGUAAUUGUAUGCAAUUGCAGGAAACUGGACCCAGGACAUCCCUCAGGUCUUAUUAAAAACAGUCUUGUAAAAACCAGUCAG